rnacentral:lncRNA from 1 species
GGUCUUGAGUUUGAGUCCGUCACGGUGUUGUGUCAGGGUAAAGAGGCACAUCUGUGUGUGACAAUGCGCCAACUCGACUAAACCCCUACCCUGCGGACAUGAAAAAUCAUGGAGAGGGGUUUGCUGCUCAACAUUUGACUGAGGCAUCUCAAGAGUCAAGAGAGGAAGGGGAGAGAGGAGGGUGGAGAGAAAGAUAUAUAGAGAGAGAGCAGUCAGUGACUGGCUUCUCAGUCUCUACUUUUGGACCUAGUGAGAGUGGAAUCCCAAGGCAGUCAUUUCUAUCAAGUUGAGCGUCUGGAAGAAGAAGCCCCACUCCCAUGUUUGGUCAAGGGGUAAAUAAUAGAUCAGGGAUUAGACUUGUGCUGAAUUCAUUCUGGGGGUAACAAGCUAACUCCGGUCCCAGGAUAUGCAUAUUCAUUGGUUGGGCCAAGGCCAUGGGAGGAUAAAGACCAUAUGCCUGUUUGUUAGGGAGAUAGAGCUUAAAUCCAGCUAAUUAAACAAGAUAUUACAUAGCUCCGUGAGCAACAAAACAAGCCUUUUAAGGAUUGUCCAGGAAAUAGAAGUGCUACAACUCGGGAGGGGUAAUAUAAUGAUAUGGGUCUCUUUGAUAGCUUCAAAGGGCCUCAAUAAUGUUAUAUGGCUUUGAAAGUGAUUUUUCUUCCCCCAAUUUAUUCGUCAUGUCAAACAAACUGUUAAUGAUAGGGCUGAUUAGUGUUGUGACAUAUUAAACGGCUACACUAAUGAUGCUGGAGACAUCCAUGUUGGUGUGAAGUCGCCACCUCGUCUGCCAUUAGCAUAUUGUCAAGCACGGAUGUCUAAUUUGAUUACGCUUAUAAACACAGGCAGUUCAACUAAUUAAAGUUACUCAGCAAGUGGUAAGGAGAAUGUCCAAGCUCAGCCCUUCUACAGUUUGACAUCUGGAUUCAAAAUAUUUUAUAAAGCUCCUUCAUUUACUGAAAGAGCACAAAACUAAAUGUGCGUCUCACACACACACACACACACACACACACACACACACACACACACACACACACACACACACACACACACACACACACACACACACACACACACACACACACACACACACACACACACAGUCUCUCUGCAAUGAGUAUAGGUUUAUCUGUCCCCAUGACAGGACCCUACCUCUCUCACUAAUUACCCAGAGGGGUUAUUGAUGAUGAG